CUUUCUAAGGUUUCCUUCUCUUCUCUGCUCUGAUCCUCUCUCCUCUCCAAGUCCAGUAAGAAUUAGCACUGAGUUUUCCUUCUUUUUCCUCUCUGUGACAUAGAAAAAGUAAACCAGUUAUGUGAUUCUUUCCGAAUCUAUGGUUUAUGCAACAAUGUGGGUUUGUUCUGUGUCUCAGGAAGAUAAAAAUUAACUUCAUUUGCUUUCCUUUACAUUUGGCUGUACCUCACCUCUCUAUGGUCCUGGAGUCCAAGGUCUAGUUUGCAAGUGUGUAUGUUUAUGUGUGUGCAUUUGUAUGUUUAUUUGUGUGGAGGGAAAGAUGUUAUAAGCAAUGUUUUUGAUAAAUAUUACACCACUGUAGUCGAUAUGGAAGUAAUAUGAUAUUUAUAAAAUUCACAUCAGUGCUAAACAGUGUGCCAUAGAGAUAAAUAUUCUAGAAUGUCACAGGAAGGAGGAAUUCAGUGAGAACCAGAGAAUCGGGGAAGAUUUCAGAGAGGACAUGGGAAUUCAGCGAAAUGAAAAUAAGUAAAUCGAGUAGGUAAGGGGAUUCUAAUUUAGGUGAUCAACAGAAUCACAAACAUAGAUAAGGAAAUAAAUAAGUGUGCCCUUGGAAAAGUGAAAAAGUUCACAAAAGUCUCUUGGUGAUAUUUGAUAGAGUGUAGAGGGGGCAUACGUGUGGUUGAGAUGGAUUACAAAAGACCCAUUACAUUUUCUAUGAAACAUUUUGUUCUAGACUUCAUGAGGUAGAAAAUAAGGAAACAUUUGAAAGGGUUACAACAUGACAGUAGCUAUUUUUUAAAGAGUCAGUAUGUGUUGUUUAGUGAACUGUCCGGCCUGUCAAUUAGUACAACAUUUCUUAAGUAAAGAGCUAAAGAAAUGGCAGGAAUUUGGGAAAGUUAUCCAAUUCUCCUUGGAUAUAACUUGAUCUAGAUUCUGGUCAAUAAGGACAAAAGUGAACUUGAUGCCUGUAUGUUUUGUGGCUGUUUCUCAUCAUUACAUUUAGACUCUGACUUCUUUAGAUCAGUCAUCCAAUGACCAAAAUUUGGAAGUGGUCCCAACUUUUUUUGCAGUGGACCAAGCCAUUCUAUGAUAGGGCCACUCUUUGAAGCCAUACCUUUUUAAAAAUUAACAUUGUGUAUGGUGUUAGAGAGUGUUCUAAUUUCAUUCUUUUCCAUGUAGCUUUCAGUUUUUCCACCACCACUUUUUGAAGAGAUUAUCUUUCUUCCACUGUAUGUUCUUGCCCCUGUUGUCAUAGAUUAGUUGACUAAAGGUGCUUUGGUUUAUAUCUGGGCUUUCUAUCCUGUUCCAUUGAUCUAUAUUUCCAUUUUUGUGCCAGAACCAUAUUGUUUUGAUAAUUGUAGCUUUACACUAUAGUCUGAAGUUAGGGAGCCUGAUUCUUCCAUUUCUGUUUCUUUUUCAAUAUCGCUUUGGCUAUUUGUGGUCUUUUAUGUUUCUAUAAAAGUUUUAUGUUUGAGUAAACUCAAAAUGGAUUAAACAUCUAAAUAUAAGGCCAGAUAGUAUAAAACUCCUAGAGGAAAACAUAGGCAGAAUUCUAUUUGACAUAAAUUACAACAUCAUGGUUGAUGCUCUUCCUAGAGAAAGGUCAGUAAAAAUAAAAAUAAACCAAUGGGACCUAAUUAAACUCAAAAGCUUUUGCACUGCAAAGGAAAACAUUAAAAAAAUAAAAAGACAACCCAAAGAGUGGGAGAAAAUCUUGUAAAUGAUGCAACAGACAAAGGAAUAAUCUCCAAAAUAUACAAGCAGCUCAAACAACUCAACAAUGAAAAAACAAACAGCCCAACUGAAAAAUGGGCAGAAGACCUAAAUAGACAUUUCUCCAAAGAAGACAUAUGGAUGGCCAACAGGCACAUGAAAACAUGCUCAACUUAAUUACUUAUUAGAGAAAUGCAAAUCAAAACUAUAAUGAGGUACCACCUCACACCUGUCAGAAUGGCUAUCAUUAACAAGUCUAACAAAUGCUGGAGAGGGAGUGGAGAAAAGGGUACCCUCCUAUACUGUUGGUGGGAAUGUAAAUUGGUACAACCACUAUGAAAAAAAUGUAUGUAUGUACCUCAGAAAACUAAAUGUAGAACUACCAUAUGACCCAGCAAUCCCACACCUGGUCAUAUAUUCAGACAAUACAUUCAUUGAAAAAGAUACAUGCCCCACUAUGUUUAUUGCAGCACUAUUUACAAUAGCCAAGACAUGGAAAUAACCUAAAUGACCAUCAACAGAUGAAUGCAUUAAGAAUAUAUGAUAUUUUCACACAAUAGAAUAUUAUUCAGCCACAAAAAAAGAACAAAAUAAUGCCAUUUGCAGCAACAUGGAUGGACUCAGAGAUUGUCAUAGAAAAUGAAGUAAGUCCAAAAUGAGAAAGACAAAUACCCCAUGAUAUCACUUACAUGUAGAAUCUAAAAUAUAUCAUAAAAGAUCCUAUCUAUAAAACAGAAAGAGAUCAUGGCCGUGAAGAGCAGACUUGUGGUUGCCAAGGGGGAACGAGUGUGAUGGACAGGGAGUUUGGGGUUAGUAGAUGCAAACUGUUACAUUUGGAAUGGAUAAGCAAUGGGGUCUUACUGUACAGCACAGGGAACUCUGUCCAAUCUCUUGGGUUGGAACAUGAUGGAAGAUAGUAGGAAGAAAAAAAGGAUGUACAUAUAUGUAUGACUAGGUCACUUUGCUGUACAACAGAAAUUGA
rnacentral:lncRNA from 1 species